UACGUAGGGACCAAGCGUUGUUCGGAUUUACUGGGCGUAAAGAGCUCGUAGGCGGUUUGUUGCGUCGGCUGUGAAAUCCCGAGGCUCAACCUCGGGUCUGCAGUCGAUACGAGCAAACUAGAGUGUUGCAGGGGAGACUGGAAUUCCUGGUGUAGCGGUGAAAUGCGCAGAUAUCAGGAGGAACACCGGUGGCGAAGGCGGGUCUCUGGGCAACAACUGACGCUGAGGAGCGAAAGCGUGGGGAGCGAACAGG
rnacentral:rRNA from 1 species